rnacentral:rRNA from 1 species
GACGAACCGUGGCGAACGUUGUUCGGAAUCAUCUUGGGACGUUAAAGGGCGCGUGAGGCGGGCAGCCAAGUCAAGGGGUGAAAUCUUUCGGCUCAACCGGAAACGUGCCUUUGAUAACUGGCUGCCUCGAGGGAGUAGGGGCGUGCGGAACUUCCGGUGGAGCGGUGAAUGACGUAGAUAUCGGAAGGAACACCGGUGGCGAAACGCGGCGCGCUGGACCUCUUCUGACCGCUGAGGCGCGAAAGCCAGGGGAGCAAAC